GGGCAAUUAGCUCAGCUGGGAGAGUACCUGCUUGACGUGCAGGGUGUCAGAGGUUCGAGUCCUCUAUUGCCCA
rnacentral:tRNA from 1 species